rnacentral:ncRNA from 2 species
AGAGUUAAAAAGUACGUGAAAUUGUUGAAAGGGAAACGUUUGAAACCAGUCAUGCUGGCGGGAAAUCAGCCUACCUUCUGGGGGGUGCACUUUCCCGUUGGCAGGUCAGCGUCAGUUUCGAUCGCCGGAAAAAAGCCUAGGGAAUGUGGCUCCUCUCGGGGAGUGUUAUAGCCCUGGUCAAUACGGUGGUUGGGACUGAGGAACGCAGGGCAUGCCUUUUAAGGCUGGGUACUCCGGUGCUCGUGCCCGCCCCGCGGUGGACAGCUUGCUGACCUCCGUUGGGACCUGGGUGCGAUCCGCCGGAUAACCACAUAUGCCCUUAGGUCGCUGACUUAAUGGUUUUAAAUGACC